rnacentral:rRNA from 1 species
AAACUAACAAGGAUUCCCCUAGUAGCGGCGAGCGAAGCGGGAAAAGCUCAAAUUUGUAAUCUGGCGCCUUCGGCGUCCGAGUUGUAAUCUCGAGAAAUGUUUUCCGUGUUAGACCGCAUACAAGUCUCUUGGAACAGAGCGUCAUAGUGGUGAGAACCCAGUACACGAUGCGGAUGCCUAAUACUUUGUGAUACAUUUUCGAAGAGUCGAGUUGUUUGGGAAUGCAGCUCAAAUUGGGUGGUAAAUUCCAUCUAAAGCUAAAUAUUGGCGAGAGACCGAUAGCGAACAAGUACCGUGAGGGAAAGAUGAAAAGCACUUUGGAAAGAGAGUUAACAGUACGUGAAAUUGUUGGAAGGGAAACACAUGCAGUCAGACUUGCUAUUCGGGGCAACUCGAUUGGCAGGCCCUCAUCAGUUUUUCGGGGCGGAAAAGCAUAGAGAGAAGGUAGCAGUUUCGGCUGUGUUAUAGCUCUUUAUUGGAUUCGCCCUGGGGGACUGAGGAACGCAGCGUGCUUUUAGCAUGAGCUUCGGCUUAUCCACGCUUAGGAUGCGGGUGUAAUGGCUGUAUAUGAC